GUGACGAGAUCUCGUGCCACGAGAUCUCGCGAGAUUAAACUCGACGAUAUUUCUCGUCGCGUUAAAAAUCUGUCUCGCGAGAUUUGUGAGCUAUGCAAACCUCUACCCCUGUACCUCUACCAGAGAAGCUGGCUCUGCUUCUACCAGAGAAUUUUGACUGGCUGUGCUUCUACUUGUGACCUGUGGGGGAAGUAAUGCGCAUUUGCUACGUCUAGCCUGCCAGAACCUAAAGAAGGAGAAGGAAAAGAAGAAGAGGAGGAGAAGGAGGGGAAACAGCAAGCAGCCAGAAUGACGUCGGAAAAUACCGGUAUGACCAUUGAAGAUGCCCCCGCCACUUUUAAAUCGUCUGUUUGGCAGCAUUUUGGGUACCCGGCGGAAAUGAUAAAUGGCAGUAGAGUGACUGAUAAAACACAGACAAUAUGCAAACAUUGUAUGAAAAUAAUGCCGUACACCGCGGGUAAUACGAGCACGAUGCGGAGUCAUAUGCAGCACCACCACAGCUCGGUACUCAAAUCAGCUUCUGCACCUGUGAAGAAAACACUAACAGGCCAGACGACGCUGACAAAUGCAUUCGGACCUCAACUUCCACAGUCAAGCGCCAGAGCCACAACAAUAACAAGAGACAUAGGUGUUUUUAUCGCAGCAGAUAUGAGGUAAGACAAAACGCCCGAAGUAUUGAUACACUUGACAGCUGCGAUGUCAGAGAUGCUGAAGACCUUGUGAAGCUGCUGCAUCCUUUGAAGACAGCCACCACAGUGUUGUACCACAGCUGAGGAGAGGGAAGAAGGGGCAGCAGGUGGAGCUCACUGUCCCACACAUGGUAGAGAGGAGGCUGUGAGAGAUGAUGAGCCCGAAGUGACAGAACCUACUCCCAAAAAGACAGCACUUGAGGACCUGUUAGGAAACUCUUUCUCUACUGAGCCAGAGAUGUCCAACAGUUCAAAACAGGCUGAGAGGGAAGUUGAAAACUACAGAAAAGAGGCCUCUAUCCCUCUCAGUGGCUGCCCUCUUAAGUGGUGGCAACAACACUGCUCCCAAUAUCCUUUGCUGUCUCACCUUGCCAAAGCGUGCCUUUAACCCUAACCCUGCUACCUCCGUUCCAAGUGAGCGCAUCUUUUCAACAGCAGGAGACAUAGUCAAUGCGCAAAGAUCCCAACUGCUGCCAGACAAUGUGGACAUGCUAAUAUUCUUAAAAAAGAACAUGGCUGUGUAGUUGCAGCAUGUUGUUACACUUGGUCAGGCUUUGUUUGCACUCUGUAUUGACAGUUAAUGAUUUGGUUUUGCACAUAAUAUUGUUUGCACUUUGAAAAGAAAAGGAGGAAAUAUUCAAUUUUAUUAUUUUUUUAUUAUUGUUUUAACUUUUAUAAAUUUUAGUUCUAGUUUCAAUUUGUGAAAGAAUAAGUUUAUUAACAGUUAAAAGAACAUGACUGUGUAGUUGCAGCAUGUUGUUACCUUUAAUACUUGGUGCAUGCAAGUUAUAAUAAAACAUUUCAAAAUGCUUGUGCAACUCAGUAAAAUAAAAGUCUGUUGGUCCAGUCAUAUAUUUUGUCAUUGUGGUUUUCCUAAAAUCUCGUCUCGUCUCGAUCUCGUGAACCCAAUCUCGCGUCUCGUCUCGUCUCGUGAGCUGAGUGUAUCGUCACACCCCUAUUUAACAUUC